GCGCAUGCUGGAGGCUGGAGCCUACAGUGGCUCACCUCGCUGCUGCGGUUGGUGGCCGCGAGGGUGACUACAGCGCAGCCAGAAUGGUGAAAAGGUGGCAGAAUAGCUUAUCUGACUUUGCCUGCCCAGUUGCUCCGUGCCAGGAGGAGGAGCCACUUAUUCCAUGCUGGAGGCUGGAGCUGGGGGCACCGCAGCUCACCUUGCUGUGGUUGGUGGUGGCGAUGGAGACUACAGAGCACCAGAGCGGUAGGAGAGCAGCAAUGGAGACUGCAGAGUGCCAGAGCAGUAGGAGGGCGGCUGGCUGCUGCCUGGGCAAGGGCAGGCCUGCUGUGGUAUCCAGGUGGUAGGAGCCUUGUAGGGUGGACCAGUGGACUGAGGGCAACAGGAACAGUGGUUGUAUUGGCAUCAGUGCUAGUGGUGGCAGCAGCAGCAAGUCUGGAGGUUGGGAAGGCGGGUAGGAGCGCUCCAGGGCUGACCCGCCCGGCUGGGCCUGGCCUGGGGUGGGUAGGAAGCUGUGGGCCUCUGGGGCAGCGGUGGAGGCGCAGCCUGGGGAAGGAGGAGUCUCCUCCGCUUCUCCUGCAGAAUCUGGAGGGCGCCCUCCUCCUGGUAGGUCCUGAGCCAGGCGUGAGUGGCAGCAUUGUGUCAUUAUUAACAAAGUUUGGGUAGUGACUAUUUGUGUAUCUUUUUGCUUGUUUUUUGUUGGGAUAGUCUUGGGCUUUUUUAAAUUUCAUGAAUCAGGGAGGGGACAAAAGCUGUAAUAGGACUCCUGAUUCCCUUGUCUGUUCUUUUUCUUUUCUUCUCCUUAUCAUCAUUUUCUUGUUCCUCUUCAUUUUCUUAUGCUGCUGCUUCUAUUUCUUGUAGCAUGUGGAGGAGGGAGUGGGAGAUAGAGACCAGGCCCUCUCUAGAAACAGUCACAUCCUGGAGGAACGGUGAUGUAUUUUCUGAUGAGGAUUUUCAUUCAUGAGAUGUGUGCAGAGUGACCCUGGCUAGGUGCCCAAAAGCCUCCUUGUCUAUGGUGUGACUCCAGGCCCAGGAGGCAACCCCGUUUUUGUAGAAGAGCCUGUCCUGGAAGCAUCUGUCCUGAGAGCACCUGAUGGCACAGUAGGGAGCUGAGAGCAACUGAGUCAGGAGGGACAAUGGCCAGCCCCUCCCAGGAUUCCUGCCUUGGGCAGAUGCUGGCCCACUGACUUACAGCCCAGGGGCUGACAGGGGUGUCUUGUCCAAGCCACUGUGGGCAGGUGUUGCCUAGGCAGUGUGGUGUUGGAUGACACCGAAGCUGCUGCACAGCCUGGGGUAUUCAUCUCUGGCAGACUGAGGGCCAGGUACUGCACAUCCUGAGGUGUUCAUCCCUGCCAGACCGAAGGCCACGCCCAGGCAGCUCCCCAUCCCCUGCCACAACAAGGCCUCAUUUUUCCCACAAACCAACUCCAUGCACCCAUCCUCCAGGCCCCUGAGUAUGCCAAGCACCAGGCCCGGUGAGCCCUGGUCUCUCUGUGCUGCAGCCACGCACCUGCCUAGGGACCUCCUCCUCACCUUCCUGCCCCUCAUGCCAGUUAUACCCCACAUGCUGUGAGGCUGAAGUCAAGCAGGGAAGCAGCAGAGAAGGCAUGGAGAGCGACAAGCCCCACAGCAGGGUGUGAAGGAAGGCCUCUCCAGGUCAGUGUCCUUGUCUAGCCCCCAGGCAUGUGCUGCAGGCAUUUGGGCCCUUUACUUCUUCUUCCAAGGGAACCACAAACAGCCCUGGGGUCCAGGGGGUUAUUGGCCAGAUCUCCAGAGAGUGACUCCAGGGUCCUGGUCUCCAAGGGAGAAGAGGGUUUGGGGAGAGGCCUUUGGUCAGGCAUGUGGCGCAUGCUAUUCCUGAGCAGGUCGGGCAGCUGGUGCUUGCCUGGCUAAUGCAGUUUCUGCUGGGCCUCUCUUCCUGGAGGAGAGUGUGGCCUCUUUCCCAGCUGUCUUUUAGCCAAGAUGCACAGAAAGCAGACCAGAGAUGCAGGUCACAGCCAAAGCAAGUGGCAAGUGGUGCUGCUUCCCAAGGGACAUUGCCGUGGCUGUUCUGUGGCUCUGAGAUGCUUGGGGUGCCCACCUGGAGCUGUGAGCUGGCCUGGCAGGCCUGGGAGGGCCCUAUGGGCUCUUUUGAAAGUUCACUUUUGUUGAAUUUUACAUAGAAUCUUCCCAUGUCCACUCCCCAGUACUCUUUUCUGCUGUCCCCAGACAGUGCCAGCAGAGGCCACGUGCUGUCUAAAUAUGUCCGCAGGCACUCAGUGCAGGGUCCUGGCCUGAGGGGGCAUGAGGCCAGCAUCCCUCACUUUAGGACCGGGAAGUCAGUUCUCAGGCUUCCAAAACAGCUGAGACAGCUGCCACUUCCUGUCACUUAAGCCUGGUCUCUGUACCUCACUUUCCUUCUGGGACCUCAGUGCCUUCUUCCUACAAGAUACUGGUGUUCACGUCACUAGCUCUGGGACUCGGGAGGAGACUGAGGCACACAGAUGAUCAGUUGUAAUCACAUGGACUCAGGGUGAGGUCCAAAGUUAACCAGCACGUGGCUGAGAUCUCAACCAUAAAGUUUCUAAUUCUAAAGUCAGGCUCUGGGGUGGAGUGAGUGUGUGCUUGGUACGUGGCUGAGUCUGUGAUGGUCAGCCUGUGUGAGGGGAGGAUCCGGUCAAAUGAGCAAAGGCACCAUCCCAGGCACAGAAUGUGCAUCCUGUGGUUGUUGGGGGGAGUCUGUCAGAGUCUUAUUCUGGACUAGAGUCAGGACUGGGUCCCAUAAGGUCAGGGCAGGGUGAGUGUGACCUUGGGGCUACAGGCAAGGCCAGGCAUCCAAGGGGUCUCAACUGCCCCAAACAACCCCAUCCUGCCAGGCCCCACUCCCCCUGUCCCUCCCUCCCAUUGUUCAGUCCCCUCACCCCCUCACCAUGGGCACCUGCAGUCUCAUUCAGAGACACCCUCAUCUUAGAGUCCCUGAUAGUGGGGAGUUUGGCCCCUCAGAGGCCUUGGUUGCUUUGGUCAAUCCAUAAUGCCUGGGCCUGGGACCCCCACCAUUUCUUGUUCAUCAGGGACACAGCAGCUGUGAAGGCAGCUGCCUUCACCAGAGCAGCGAUGUAGCCCAGCAAGGGCAGGGACAGAGACGCAAGGUCUGGGGGAUUUUUCCACAAUGCUGCAGAAAGAAAGUCCCUGUGGAGCUCAGUCUCAGCCAUCCCUGCCCCAGCUGUGAGCUGAACUGAAUUUCAGGCAUCUCAGAGUCCCUUCACCUUUGCAUGACCCAUUUCCAGGACAUGACAGGUCAAGCCCAUGGGAGAGGGGAUCACCCAGGUCUCCCUCAUCUCCAUGGACCUCCUGGGAACAUUGCCAGGGUCCACUCCACCCCUGGACGCUGUCCCCAAGCUUCACCCUCUUUUUAUAAGUUGUACAUUUUUAUUAUGAAGAUCUUUGAACACAAAAAUAGGGAGAUGAAAGAAUAAUAAUGUCCCCAAGGUUCCCAUCACCGAGUCCCCAUAAUUUUUGAUUUUCAAAUAAUGUUGACUCACCCACAACAGAGUAAACGAUUCCCUCAGACAAUAGUCUGAAGCAGAUGCGAAAGCCAUCACAAACUUAAAUGGAGAGAAUCAAUGAUUUCUUGACACGAAAAAACAGUUAACGAGGGUCUCACCAAAUGUCUUGUGAAUUUCAUUGUGUAUAUUUUUAGUUGACUUCGUGGUGCAUUACGUAUUUGUGGAUUUAACUUUAGUUUCUAUGUGGAGUAAAUACUUGAUGUUAUCAGUGGUGAAUGUGUUUUUAGACCCAUUCUAUCUACAGCUGUCUCCCAAAUGGCUGUCAGGCUUUUCCUGGCAAGGCAGGAGUGGCAGGAGCAGAGAGCUGGUCCUGAGACCCUCCCACAGUCAGGAUGCAGCCACUGCCUCCCUGAGCAGGAACCCAGUGCUUCCUUUAGCUUCUCUUUUCCUGAAAAAUUGUUCUAGCAUCAAGAGGCUCAGUGGGGUUCAGGCUGGACAUUGGCAUAACUGCUUCCUAGGACAUGUGGUUACUUCUAGCAAAGCCACCCAUGUUCAUCAUUCUUUUAGUGACAUUAGCUGUGUUUGAUGAUCGAUAACUUUGUGCUUCAGAUAAAAAGGAAGACAGAGGGUUGAGGCUUCCAUUCACCUCCUCGUGAGAGCUGCAGUGUGUCGCUGAAGGGAGGGCCCAGCAGCUGUGCUAUGAACCUAGGAGUGUGCUUCCUGCUUUGGAAAAAAGGAAGAAAAGUAGUUUCUUCCCUUUUAUUCACCACUUUGAUAAUGGACGAUCUGGUGCUCGGCCAUACUCGAGGGUGAACAGAACAACAUAGAGCCAGAGUGAGCUCCAGCAUGUGAGGACAUCUGACAUGUGGGAUCCACUGCGGUUAUAUUGAAUUGGUGAUCAUGAUGUGGCUACAAAACAUAAACAUUUGCCCACUGAGCACCUCCUCAGGGGGCACCUCAUUUUCUUUCAUUGCUCCGGAAGCUUCAGUGGCUCCUGAUUUCGCAGAGGAUGAGAGGUCCUGUCUUGUCAUGUCCCUUUCCUGCCCCAGGCCUGGGAUCCCCCACUGAUCCCACUUCCCUUAGGAGGAGGAGGUAUUUAAGGACCACACCCUGGAGACUCUCUCAUGUCCCCCAUUUGAAUAAGGAAAUGGUAGCCAUCACCCCACCUGACCUACCCAAUGUAAAACCAGAUUGAGGGGUCCAGGGAUCAAGGAUGGAGCUUCCAUUUUGUUGAGGGGGACCAGCCGGGCCUCACUGGCCAGGGCCAUCCCAACUGGGUCAAGACCUGGGAAGAUGGGGCUGAAACUCCUGGAGUCAGGGCUAGGUUAAUGGGAAGGUUCCCAGGACACUGCACUCUAGGGUAACCAGCUUCUCCCUGGAGGGAGAGGGUACUGUCUGCAUCACCCCAUGGUAUCACCAAGCAAUCAGUGUUGAGUCAACUCCCCCAGGGAGACCAGGUAUCCCUGUCCAUGAAAAUUCCUCCUAGUGGCAUAAAUGCCCUCUGAUAAACUCAUCCCCAUGACUACAUGAUGGUUGGUGGGAAAACCAAACCCAAGACGCCGAUGUCCUCCAGGGAUCCUGCUGCUGGUCACAGGAUGUCACUUGUCCCCUUAUCUGUGGGGGUGAGGGUGAGGGGUGUGUGGACUCAAUGAGCAGAUGCCACCAGGGGGAGUGGCCAGAGCUUCCUUCCUCACAGCUGCAGUGGGGGCUGGGGGUAGGGGCAUCCCAGGGAGGGGUUUUUGUAUGAGCCUGUGUCACAAUGUGGCGCUGGGUCUGCUGGCGGGCCUCCUGAUGGUUCUUGCCUGUGCCCAUGGCAGCAGGUGGGACAGAACAAUCCUCAGGCUCCCAGGUGCUUGCCUGGAAGUGCAGCGGCGGCGAGUGGGGCAAGUCUUCCCUCAAGCCCUGGGACAGUAUCUGGGUGGGCUGGUUCCCAGACACAAUGAAGGUACGUGCAAUUUUGUGUCAGCCCUGCUGCUGGGGGUGGGAUGUGGGGUUGCUGUCAGUGGCAGCAGCCACAGGCAGAUGGCUCUCAGGCUCAUGCACUUGGGUUUCCUUUGUCAUGGAGCUGGCCUCCUUGGUGCACUGCAUUGCCCAUUCCCUGGGGUGUAGGACUCUUGUGUGGGCUAGAGUGCUGGAGACGCGGUCAAACCGCUGGUCUAGCCGGCAUCAUGCUGCUGUAGCCCUCUAAGUGGAUAAGGGGAGAUGUCAGGGGGGCUCUAGGGAUGUGGAGAUGCAGGGCUGUUGGGCCCCAGGGCAAGAGGCAAUCCUCAUGGGGUCUGGGCUCUCAAAAUGGCACGUGCUGGAGCUUCUUGGAUCUAAAGUGUGUGUGUGGUACCCAGCACGACUCCCUCUGGAACAAUGCCAUUGCGUGGACAAGUACAGGCAGCAUCCUAUGCUGUCUCAGGGCCCACAAGAGCUGAGGGGCUCUCCCAUGGCCAGGGUUGCAGGAAUCUGUGGUGGGAAUGUGGACCCCUGGGAAUCUCUCACUUACCUUUUCCCCUGCACUGGGGAGCUCAUCUGGUCUUGCUUUUCUCUCCUUCCAUAUCUCGGAUGGUUCUGUCACUUCCCCGCUGAAUUCCAGCAUUCUCUGUUAGAUGCUCUAUUUGACAUGUGAUUAUCUGUUUUGCUCCUUCUUUGUGGAGGAGACGAAUGUUGGGCACCUCUAGUCAGUCACCUUGAAGCUCUUCUCCAAGUGUCAUUUUUUUUUUUGAGUUUUAAAGUUGGCCUGUUGGUCUUUUUAUUCCGGAUACAACUCCUUUGUCAGACGUGUGCGUACUCUAAGUAUUUUCAGUUAUUUUGUGGGUUGUUUGGUCAUUUCCUUUAAGGUGACUUUUGUUGGCUAGAAGUUUUCAAUUUUGAUGUAGUUCAAUAUAUUGCUUUUUUCUCCUAUGAUUGGUAAUUUUUGUGUCCUCUGUAUGAAGACAUUGUC
rnacentral:lncRNA from 1 species